rnacentral:rRNA from 1 species
GAGUUUGAUCCUGGCUCAGGAUGAACGCUGGCGGCGUGCCUAAUACAUGCAAGUCGAGCGAAUGGAUUAAGAGCUUGCUCUUAUGAAGUUAGCGGCGGACGGGUGAGUAACACGUGGGUAACCUGCCCAUAAGACUGGGAUAACUCCGGGAAACCGGGGCUAAUACCGGAUAACAUUUUGAACCGCAUGGUUCGAAAUUGAAAGGCGGCUUCGGCUGUCACUUAUGGAUGGACCCGCGUCGCAUUAGCUAGUUGGUGAGGUAACGGCUCACCAAGGCAACGAUGCGUAGCCGACCUGAGAGGGUGAUCGGCCACACUGGGACUGAGACACGGCCCAGACUCCUACGGGAGGCAGCAGUAGGGAAUCUUCCGCAAUGGACGAAAGUCUGAUGGAGCAACGCCGCGUGAGUGAUGAAGGCUUUCGGGUCGUAAAACUCUGUUGUUAGGGAAGAACAAGUGCUAGUUGAAUAAGCUGGCACCUUGACGGUACCUAACCAGAAAGCCACGGCUAACUACGUGCCAGCAGCCGCGGUAAUACGUAGGUGGCAAGCGUUAUCCGGAACUAUUGGGCGUAAAGCGCGCGCAGGUGGUUUCUUAAGUCUGAUGUGAAAGCCCACGGCUCAACCGUGGAGGGUCAUUGGAAACUGGGAGACUUGAGUGCAGAAGAGGAAAGUGGAAUUCCAUGUGUAGCGGUGAAAUGCGUAGAGAUAUGGAGGAACACCAGUGGCGAAGGCGACUUUCUGGUCUGUAACUGACACUGAGGCGCGAAAGCGUGGGGGAGCAACAGGAUUAGAUACCCUGGUAGU